AACGAACGCUGGCGGCAUGCCUAACACAUGCAAGUCGAACGAGACCUUCGGGUCUAGUGGCGCACGGGUGCGUAACGCGUGGGAACUUGCCCUUAGGUUCGGAAUAACUCCCCGACAGGGGUGCUAAUACCGGAUAAUGUCUUCGGACCAAAGAUUUAUCGCCUUUGGAUGGGCCCGCGUUGGAUUAGCUAGUUGGUAGGGUAAAAGCCUACCAAGGCGACGAUCCAUAGCUGGUCUGAGAGGAUGAUCAGCCACACUGGGACUGAGACACGGCCCAGACUCCUACGGGAGGCAGCAGUGGGGAAUAUUGGACAAUGGGCGAAAGCCUGAUCCAGCAAUGCCGCGUGAGUGAUGAAGGCCUUAGGGUUGUAAAGCUCUUUUACCCGGGAUGAUAAUGACAGUACCGGGAGAAUAAGCUCCGGCUAACUCCGUG
rnacentral:rRNA from 1 species